rnacentral:lncRNA from 1 species
GAAAAUAAUUAAGUUAUAGACUGUAUUUAUAUGAAAUGUGUAUACAUAUUGCAUUUGAAUCAUUUUAACCACAUGUAACACCUGCAUGUUUUUGUUGUUGUUGUUGUUGUUUUGAAAAAAGGCUUUGAUUUUGCCACCCCAUUUGAUUUCCAUGCAACCCUGAGAAAAUGUCUGUAGAUCCACCCCUGCACAUGCUACUGUGGACAGACCCCCAUGGUCAGCAGUGGGUGGGUUAUACCCUUGUGAAACACUGUUAAAUGUUGUGAAAGUCUGUUGGGUGGGCUCAGUUAUUCAUAACACCUAUCAUAGCUUAAUGUGCUCCCCUAUGGUUUUUUUUCUUAUUAUUUAUUAUUUCACAGAAAAAGUGCCAGUGUGUGAAGGGUUGAUGAUUAAAGGAUACACCAGUGGUGCCUGUGGUGACAGGUUCAGGCUGUUGUGUUUGUGCAGCACUAAAAAUACCUUGGCACUGUAAGUGAUUCCAGCUACCUCUUAUCGAAGGAGUUGAAGCUCUUCUGCCUGACUAUACAACACGCCAACACACUGGACAAACAGAUUCGAAAACUCCCUUGGAGCUGCAAUUGAUUUUUUUUUAUUUUUUAUUAACUGGCUUUGAUGACCAAUCAGACGCCAGUAAAGAUGGGCUGGUGCAUAGAGGAGGGUCACUUUCUUUAGGUUAUAUUAAUCCAUCGUUCCCCUGCUCCACUCAGAAGGACAGAGACUCAGGAUGGCCCGGCCUCUGCAGCUCAUUAUCGUGGUCUCCUCCUUAAUAGCUGCCUCUCUGUGUGAUGUCUGUGUGGAAGCUGUUUUAGGAAGACAGUUCACAUUUCCAGAAAACUGCAGCAAUGAUGGAGGAAAACUGUUUCGGUGUGAGCCGCAUGGGGAGGUGGAGGUGGCUGUUCACCAGCAAGUCAACGAGGGAGAAAAGGCCACCUUCCCGUGCUUUUAUCAACCUACCUGCAGCAAGUCUGAGACUGCACAGUGUGUGAAAAACGGGCAGAAUUUCACCAGAGACAAAGGAAACAAGUGUGCUGAUGGCCGACUCUCUCUGUCACCUAAACGAGACUGUUGCCCAAACGUAACACGAGCUGAGAAGCAAGACGGAGGAGAUUAUUUUUGUUACAUCCAGUGUGGAGGGAAACGGUUCGCAGCUGUUGUGAGGCUAAAGGUCAACGGGGCAUCCACUUCACCGCCUGCGUCUAAACCACAACAAGCCUGA